AUUGAACGCUGGCGGCAGGCUUAACACAUGCAAGUCGAGCGGGGUGAUGGUGCUUGCACUAUCACUUAGCGGCGGACGGGUGAGUAAUGCUUAGGAAUCUGCCUAUUAGUGGGGGACAACAUCUCGAAAGGGAUGCUAAUACCGCAUACGUCCCACGGGAGAAAGCAGGGGAUCACUUGUGACCUUGCGCUAAUAGAUGAGCCUAAGUCGGAUUAGCUAGUUGGUGGGGUAAAGGCCUACCAAGGCGACGAUCUGUAGCGGGUCUGAGAGGAUGAUCCGCCACACUGGGACUGAGACACGGCCCAGACUCCUACGGGAGGCAGCAGUGGGGAAUAUUGGACAAUGGGGGGAACCCUGAUCCAGCCAUGCCGCGUGUGUGAAGAAGGCCUUAUGGUUGUAAAGCACUUUAAGCGAGGAGGAGGCUCUUUUGGUUAAUACCCAAGAUGAGUGGACGUUACUCGCAGAAUAGGCACCGGCUAACUCUGUGCCAGCCGCCGCUGUAA
rnacentral:rRNA from 1 species